GCGAAGUAUUUAAUUUAUUUGUCUCUCUUCUAGGAGCUGUAGAAACAACAGGGUGCCUGCUGCAGUAUGACGAGGACGCCCUGAUCAUAGAAGGUCCAGUGUCUUGGCAGGGUGAAAUGGCACUGAUAUCGUGUCCUGCAGGAUGCUGUGUCCUGCAAUCCUGUGUGCUGUGCUACAGACGCGUGUGGAGGUCAACCCGAAAUGGGCACAGUAGAGUGAAAGAGGGUAAGCUUAACCUAUAGCCUACGUCAGGGUUGGGGAACCUUUCUCAUUCGAAAGGCCACUUCAAAUUCAUCCGAGGGGCCAUAAAAGUCCUCCAAGGGCCGUACUAUGAACACAAACCAGGAUUUUCCCUUUCACUUUAGGCCUAUAUUGAAGGCAGCCACAUUUAAACAAACACCACCUUCUUCAGGUUCCCUGAAUAUAACUUAAUUGUAUUGCUAAUGUAUUUUCUAAGAUUCCUUUACAAAAUAUGUCAUAUUUCAUGUGAAGAUGGAAUUGCAUUAAAAUUAUAUCGGGGGCCGGAUAAAACUGCCUCAAGGGUCGCAAACGGCCCUAGAGACAUAGGUUCCCCACCCCUGGCCUACAUUGUCAAUAUGACUUGUGCUACUUUAUAGAUAAGUUGUCAAUGCUGUGCAUUGCUAUGUUUUGAUUUAUUUUCUUACAUCCUACAGAUCCUGGCAGGGAGACGGUAGUGUCCUGCAGGAUGGUGAUGGGCAAUCUUACAAGAGACCACAGAAAACUGAUAUAGUCUCCCAGAAGUGAGACUGAGUGCCUGUUGCAGUAUGACGAGGAAGCAGUGACCAGAGACCUUCAGUAGACCCUGCUGGCAUGAUUGUCGGCUGAAGAACAUGAAAUCAACAGCAAUGUUUAUAAUAUUGUACAUACCUGUAUAGUCUGCACUAAAAUGCUGUACCUGUACUAUUUUUCCUCUUACUUUCAUAUUUACCACGUAUUUACUAUGAAUUGACAACUUUUACUCAAAUCCAUUUUUGUAUGUGCCCUGACUAAAACUAUCCUUAAACCUAACCUGUCAGAGGUGUAAUAACAACCUGCUCUUAGCAAUGUGGCAGCAGUCUACUUGGAUGCAGCGGGGAACAUAGAACCCUUUUUUUUUAAAAAAAGCAUUGUAUGUUUCUGAGUUUUAUGAAUU